AUUGAACGCUGGCGGAAUGCUUUACACAUGCAAGUCGAGCGGCAGCGCGGGGGCAACCCUGGCGGCGAGCGGCGAACGGGUGAGUAACACAUCGGAACGUACCCUUUUGUGGGGGAUAACGAGUCGAAAGAUUCGCUAAUACCGCAUAAGACCUGAGGGUGAAAGCGGGGGACUCGCAAGAGCCUCGCGCGAAAGGCGCGGCCGGUGUCGGAUUAGCUGGUUGGUGGGGUAAAGGCUCACCAAGGCGACGAUCCGUAGCGGGUCUGAGAGGACGGCCCGCCACACUGGGACUGAGACACGGCCCAGACUCCUACGGGAGGCAGCAGUGGGGAAUUUUGGACAAUGGGGGCAACCCUGAUCCAGCCAUUCCGCGUGAGUGAAGAAGGCCUUCGGGUUGUAAAGCUCUUUCGGCAGGGACGAAACGGGCGAGGCGAACAACCUUGCUUACUGACGGUACCUGAAGAAGAAGCACCGGCUAACUACGUGCCAGCAGCCGCCGUAAAAC
rnacentral:rRNA from 1 species